GGUGAAAUCGCGAACAGCUCAUUACAACAGCCAUUGUUUCUUGGAUCUUACAUUCCUACUUGGAUAACUGUGGUAAUUCUAGAGCUAAUACAUGCUACAAAGUUCCGACGAAAGAGGAACGCAUUUAUUAGAGCUAAACCAAUCGGGGGCAACCCUGUUUGUUUGGUGAAUCUGAAUAACUCAGCAGAGCACACGGGCUAGUCCUGGUCACAUAUCUUUCAAGUGUCUGCCUUAUCAACUUUCGAUGGUAGUUUAUGUGCCUACCAU
rnacentral:rRNA from 1 species